CCCUUGGGAGCUCUCAGCACCAGUGUUGAUGGUUCCAGCUCCACCCACUUCCCACCCUCAGCCUGCGUGAAUAAGGCAUGGCCCCUGGACUAAGUCACAUCAGCAAUAGAGACCACCUAUCUUCUUACAAGCAAAGGCUUCCCAGCAUGAACGUUUCUCUUGUUACCUUCUAACCCCACUAAGGUUAUGGCUGCAAUUGCUGCAUGUCUCCGGAAGUGGAAAGCCACCUGCUAAGUGUCCCACCCCAACUUUGUCUCCGACCAUUGGCAGAACCAUCGAGUGUGGUUUCCGUGAGUCUCUAAAUGUUUGUUCAUAAAGCAACUUCAGCUUUCUCUCGCCUUUCAUGCUCUCUCAUGUUUUAUUACCUCAUUUUUCUUGAAGCCACACAAAAGGCUGUAAUAAUAAGCUAGCUAAGAGACUGUAACUGAUUCAGUAUUGGGAAUUUAAUAAAAGUUGUAAUUAAGAUGCACUAAAUAUUUAAUUAACAUAAAUGACUAAGAUAAUGAAGAGUUACAGAUGAAAUGUUUGUCAAUUCAGUAAAAGGAUAGUGUAAUAGGAAAAAGGGAAGUUUUGAAUAAUCAAGUCUAAGGCCAUUUGAACCAGGUUUUAACAUAGCUGUGCUUAAAGGCAGUUGUUUAGACCGGCUUUGGGUUUUGUCUCUCUGUACAUGGAGAAGACUCUUAUAGGAGUAGCUGUUUGAAUGUGAGUUAUUAAUGAACUCUACCUCAAGACCAGGAGCCAGCAGGAAGGGUCUGACAGUCAUAGAGCGCCACGGGCCUGGGUGGGUUGCACAGCGGCUAAAUGUUCUGUAAGGUCUUUAGCGACACAGCUUUGAAGUUAUACCUGCUGAACACUGGUGUUCGAAAGCUCACAUAGCAGAAUAAUUCUAAAUUUAAAACUCUUGAUGAACCAUUUUGGACACCAAUAACACACUAGUAUUAUGAGAUUGUGUGUGUGUGUGUCUGUGACAGAAUCUUGUUACACUGCUCAGCCUAGUUUCAAACUUAAGAACUUCCUGCCCUAGCCUCCUGAUUUGUUGAUAUUAUGGUAUAUUCCAUUGUGCCUGGAUCCAUCAGAUGAAAUCACCAUCUCUUUCCUCUAUAAUUUCUUCUAUCUAUCUAUCUAUCUAUCUAUCUAUCUAUCUAUCUAUCUAUCUAUCUAUCCAUCUAUCUAUCUAUCUAUUUAUCUAUCUAUCAUCAAUUGGUUGAUUGGUUGUUUAAGGCUAUCAUAUAUGUAUACAAUGAAAUAAAAUCAACCCAUUUCCCUCCUCACACUCCCUACUGACCCCCAUUUAUAUCUCUCAACUUCAUCGGCUCUUCCUCCCCCUCCUCCCCUCCCCCUCCCCCUCCUCCAAACGUUGUAGUUCACGGUGUACUGGUCGCUCUUCUUUUGUGUGAGACAGGACACAACAGCAGAUGCCUGGGAGCACUGAAUACCGAGGACAGUCUGUCUCACAGGACCUCAAGCAGCAGGACAUUGGGGUCAAAUUCAGAACAACACAAUUUAUUAAUUUUGCCCUUGGAUAUUUAUAAAACACACAUACACACGAGAAA